UUUACUCUUACCAAAAUGUUGAAUAAAGCCAAUGCCACUGCACACGUUGAUGUCUGCAUUCCUCUUGUGAGUACCUUUUGCCUUGUAACGUUGUACUUAAUUAAUUGCUAUUUGAUUAUGUAUCAUCAGUCUACACCUGAGCUUCAUUAUACUCUAUUUCUUCCAAUAUUAUUUGAUCUACAUUUACUCUUUGCAAAAUGUAGAAUAAUGGCAAUGCUUAUAAAGAAGUUUCUUUAGGGAAUUUAUUGAAUUCUCCUUCCAUCAACAUGGAGAAGGGCUUUGUCUAGCCCGUGUUAACAUGUAAUAACUUUAGCGAAGAUAGUGAGCCAAACCAUCUUUAGGAGAGCGAGAUGACCCCGAGUUAUUGUCUUGAUGAAGAUGGUGAGUUGAAGCUACUCACCAGCAGGUGUGAGACAACCUCUGUACAGUAGCUGCCUCAACCAGUUUGACUUCUUCACUCUCAACUUAAAGCGGAAAGGCUUGCUUCAGCUCAGCUCCGACUUGAAGUCAAAGAUGCAAUGAAGAUGUUAGAGGACUGCCUUGCGCACUAUGGUGUGAUACGUCUCCAACGUAUCUAUAAUUUUGAUUGUUCAAUGCUGUUAUAUUAUAAAUCUUGGACGUUUUACAAUCAUUUAUAGUCAUUUUAUAUCAUUUUUAGGUACUAACCUAUUGACA